UUGGCGAUUCUAAUUAAAUUUAUGACGUGGCAAAAAGCAAUUGGCUAUUACACAAAUAAAAUCUGUCUUCACUUCCGUGAAGAACGGGAGACCUCCGCACACACACCUGAAAAAACCUCUGAACAUACGCGUGAGAAUAACUGACAAAUUGAUCGCUUGUCAGUCUCCCCUGUCUCGACCUUAUCAGACGUAAAUCAACGACCUGCCGGCCCGAUUUUUCUCCGUUUAUCUGCCCAACAAAAAAAACUCUUAUGCAGACCGACCUAUGACCUACGAACCUUAAGCUGUAACUAACCAAGUAUCGCUGACCUCCGCUAUUCACCACCUUGAUGGCGAGCUCUGCCUCGGAGUAAAGAAAAACCUGUAGAAGUCAGUUGCUGUUGAUUAAGGCAGAGAACUGGUGAACUUUUUCAUGCAUGCUUUUGUAACCCAUUGAUGCCUUUGCAAUUUCUUUCCUGCUGCCCUUUGUGAAUGGAUGCCCUCAGUUGCAAUUGGGUUGUUUUGCUGUCUAUAGGACGUAAUGUAUUGGCACCCCGUCUGGAAUGGCCACAGCUGGAGUAAUGGGACAACACUUUCCUGCCCAGUCAUUGGUGGGCCUGUCUGCUGAAACUGUCAACUGGAUUGAUAUGUGUGACCGCCUUGCUUCAAAUACCCGCUCACGUACUGCCUUAGUGCAGGGGUCUGGUGAUGGGCAUGGUGAAGCUUCGUGUGACCACUGACAGGGACCUCGAUCACCCCGGAGAAGACCCCAGAACUCUCCUGCCACGACUUUGAGUGUAUUUUCAGUGGAGAGGUCUCCUGUUGAAGGUCCCUUGGGGUCAGUCAUUCCUCCCGACGAAUAUUCGUGGGGCUCCACCUCCCCUACACCCCUUCCUUAUGCCAACCUCCAGCAGGCCACCUAAUCUUAAUACGGCUGUCCUUCCAGUCUUUGCUCUUCACGCCCUCUCCGGGACUCGUUAUUGUUCUCGUUUCCUUAGCAGGCUAUGGGUCUGCUGGGUUCACCUCCCUCGGUUAUCUCCCCCGUUGUCACUAGCUUCUUGCCGAGUCUCAUGAGCACCCCUUGUGUUAGGGUCAGUCAGAUCCCCUCAAGGUGGAUUUAACCACUGAAUAACAGAAAAAGACAAAACAUAAAAAGCAACAAAAAGAACUAUACACAAGCAAGAGGCAACUAAACAGAAAAAAGGACUUAAAGAAAAAAAAGAGGGUGGAUAGGAAAGGAGAGAUCAGGCUAAUCUGCUCCUGUUCUCUGUCUGCCCUAGAGCCUGAGCUAGAAGGCAUCCCCCGGUGCUGCUCUGGUCUCUGCCUUCAUCGAGAGUGUCUUCCGUUCCUCCCCGGGUUAGCCUCUCUCCUCUGCUCUGGAUCUGUGGGAACACAGAGUAGACAGCCUCCACCAUCUCCGGGGCUCCUAUUGCUUCUUCAGGAGUGAGGUCUUCCCCUGAAUGCCAGUGCUGCCUGUGACCUGCGUGGGGUUGUACUUUAACUGCUGCCACUUGGAUGUCUCUCCCCAAGUGGGAUCCACCUUUUCUCUGAUUUCAGGGGUUUUUUCCCCAGGAGUGUGCAGCCCUUGUCCUGGGAUCCCCUGUGGGGAGAGUUUUUAGCUCCCCUCUGGUUGUGCUCCUGGGACAAUAUGUAAGUGCAACUUGUGAUGCUGUAUUUUGUGAUGUGCGCACACAUUCCAAGAAGAAGAAUAAAUGAGCCUGUGUGGAGCUCCACUCUGAUCCAACUAGACCAAUUCUGGUACCUGAGCUAGUUUGUUUAAGCUAAUUCUAGUAUCUCCAUCAUACUGCCCCUUCUGAAUAGUCAUAUCCUGGCAUCAAUCACCAGUAUCACUCCUCAUUUGAAGGGGAACUAGAUGAUGGCAGCAUUUUUACUUUCUUUUACACUGAUUUCAAUGAUAGGGUGAAAUUUACUCCAAAGGCAAGUGUAUUUACAACGUUCUGUGCACAAUUUGAACCCUGCACUGAGAGAAAAAUCCUGCCUCCAACUCUACAGCCAUGACUAAUGAUACUGUUGCAAUGGGUGAGGCAUGAUUCAGAGACGCAUAAAAGGUAUGCACCCCCUCCAUGAAAUAAAACCCUAUUCCAUAAGAACGCACUACAAAACAGCAUACACAGUUCAAGGAGGAGUGACACCAGAGGAUCCACCACCAUCCAUUUGUUGGGGACAUAUAGGAAAUCCAUCAUCACUCUGACUGUAGUACCACCAGCAUCGUUUCCCUCUGUCUCAGUGGGUGUGUCUACACCUGCAUUUAUGCUUGGUUAAAUUUACCGCGCAGUAAGUUACAGUGCAGUAAGUGGGAAGAGGCCGGUGUCUACACAUGCAGGUGUUAAAGUCUAUUAAUGUUGUGUGCAGACUGACUUGGGACUAAAGGGAGUCCUAAGUCAGUACACACACACACACACACACACACACACACACACAGUGUUACUGUGCAGUAAGGCGUCUACAUGUGUGUUACUGUGUAGUAACUAAUUGGGAGUAAAUGUGAUACCUGCGUGGCAGGCUGGCCGGUGGGGUCACCGGCAGCCCGUAUUGUUAACUUGAGCCCCAAAUGGCUCAGGACAAUUGGUGGAACACUUCCACCAAUCAGGAGGAGGCAGGAGGCAAGGUCGCCCUGCCAUGACCCAGGGGCAGGGUGAAGAAGAGGACCUGAGGGAGAACUAACCCCUCAGGCUUUCCUAUUGGUCCAUGCAACAGGGAACCCUAACCCUGUUACUAAGAGACGGGGUGGCCCCUUUAAGUCCAGAACCUUCCAAUCACAGCCGGCCGGUCAAGUAGGGGUUAAGGCUCAAGCCCUGCCAGCCGGUCAGGUGACAGGAAGAGGAAGGCCAGGAUCUUACAAAUGGUGAGUAGAGAAGGACAGAGGGGCAGCAAAAAGGCAGACUCCCAAAGAUUACAGUGCUGUGCCUGCAGUCUCGGUUGGAAGAAUACACCAUGCCCGGAGCCAUUCUCACAAUCAUCUAAAGUAAGCGGGCAUGUUGCCUCCCUUGCUUAAUGUUAACUGGAGGUUUGGGUGAGGCUAUUAGGGGAUGGAGGAGGCCUCAUAGG